CAGAACUAAAUCGGUGCUGCUAUUUCAAAGCACUUUGUGAGAACAAUCCAGCGUGUUAAAAGGCAGUGGGACAAACAGUAACACUGAACAUCACUAUUGACGAAUUGCUCCUGUGAGUUACAAGCAACACAUUGAAGGUCAUUUAUCUAAAUAAUAACCUUCAGUACCCACUCCUUCCUUCCAACGAACUAAAACACAUUAAUGAUUAAAGUCAGCAAAGACAUCUUCUCCCUGAUCUAAUUUUGCCUGCUGAGAUUACCACUUUCAGCUCCUACUUUCCUACUUCUUUUUUGGAGGGAGGCCGGGGGGAAGAAGAUGGGAGAUUGUUGAGUUACUGACUUGUAGAGCUACAUCUAUGAUUAAUUCCUAGUUUGUUUCAAUUAAAACAGCCUGUGUUAGUUUACACAAACUGUAGAUUGUUGUUAAUGAGUAUCACCAGUCAGCAGUGACUGAAAGGGCAUUGAUUUCAGGGUCUAAAAGUCAGAAGUGAUAUGAAAAACUCAGCAAACAUCUUUCAAUGAGAAAAUCUGUUGGGGCAGCCUAUAAAAAAGAGGAAGCAAUAUGCACCUGCAUGUGAAGGUGCUGCAGGUGGUCACUUCUGCUGGCAAACUUGGAGAUAAAGGAGGAGGCAUUUCAGUGUCAGAAUGAGGGAAGAUAAGUCAUCCUGUACAAAAGAAAAAGGACUGGCCCAGGGCCAGAUACAAAAACUGGAAAUUCUGGAUUGAGUACUUGUGUAGUCCAGCUUUCAUUAUGCCUGACUUAAGGAGUUGUAAGAGAUAGUUCUGGAAAGAAGGGGGAAAAAAAUCUCAGCAACAGAGAUGUGUUUUUAAAGCAAUGAGGAAACAACUUAUCUCACCUACCAAUAACUUCAGAGG